AGUGAACGCUGGCGGUAGGCCUAACACAUGCAAGUCGAACGGCAGCACAGUAAGAGCUUGCUCUUACGGGUGGCGAGUGGCGGACGGGUGAGGAAUACAUCGGAAUCUACUUUUUCGUGGGGGAUAACGUAGGGAAACUUACGCUAAUACCGCAUACGACCUACGGGUGAAAGCAGGGGAUCUUCGGACCUUGCGCGAUUGAAUGAGCCGAUGUCGGAUUAGCUAGUUGGCGGGGUAAAGGCCCACCAAGGCGACGAUCCGUAGCUGGUCUGAGAGGAUGAUCAGCCACACUGGAACUGAGACACGGUCCAGACUCCUACGGGAGGCAGCAGUGGGGAAUAUUGGACGAUGGGCGCAAGCCUGAUCCAGCAAUACCGCGUGGGUGAAGAAGGCCUUCGGGUUGUAGAGCCCUUUUGUUGGGAAAGAAAAGCAGCAGGUUAAUACCCCGCUGUUCUGACGGUACCCAAAGAAUAAGCACCGGCUAACUUCGUG
rnacentral:rRNA from 1 species